AUUGGUAGAAGGCGGCUCCACUGAGUGCGGACGUGCGUUGAGUUCUGCUGAUCGCGGCGCCACACUUUAGGAGCGAGAUUCAGUCAAUACCAGACGUGGAGGACAGGUGGUGGUGAUGGUGGUGUCGGCUCUACGUAUUAGUGAUGCUAACACGAGAAGAAGACUGCUGAUUCUUUUUCUAUAUCUUCAACUUUUCCCACUGAGAAUACCAGCAUGGCACGCCAGUGAUCUAUCUUCCAUCACUUCAUCAAUUAUUUUCGAAAAUUUGGCAACAGCGAGCUGACUACAGACUAUCACAAUCCUUGAACAGAAGAUUCGUCAGGAACAAGACAACUAUGUUUUUCCUCAAUAAAAAAUGAAUAUAAUUUUAAAAUCAAGUCAAAACAACGUUUGAACGAUUCACACUUUCUUGAUAUCGCUUUAAAAUAUAACUAUAUAACUUAAGUAUCACAUCCGGAAAAAAUCGAUGGAAAUUAUAAAUCGACCUUGCUUUUGAUUCUAUUUACAUCGAUCUGUUUAAAAACGCAAAUUCGAAGCGGAUUUUUUUUUUUAUCAGCAAGUCAGUCAGAAUUUCAAGUUGUUAUGCUUUAGAUACAUAUCUGUUAAAUAAGGGAAAUCAGGAAUUUCAAAUUUUAUAUGCAAACAGAAUUAUAUACGAAUAAACAGAGGAUGACGAUGAGAAAUCAAAUUUGAGCAGACGACAACAUAGAUAUCGAUACUAAUAUCGAUGUUGCGUAUUUCUGUUGGCCACACUCUGAGCGGCAAGAUUCUCCACUUUCUACCCCGUAUUAACAAUGUGGCUGAUGAGGAAUCUUAUGAACCAUCAGCCUCGCUGUCAAUACGAGGUAAGGAGUGACAACCAACCAAUCAGCGUCCAGGACUCAAACUUUCGACCAAUCAGCACGCAGGAUGGUUUCUAGGGUGACAGAGAGUGACGUACCUAUAGAAGUUGACAAUUUCUCGCCACCUUGUGGAAGAUUAUAGUAAGCUAAAUUAUACUACUCAUCUUUUGAAUCAUGUUUUUUUUUCCUAAAUAAUUCGAUACCAAAUUCAGACUUUUAUUCAAUUCAAGUCAGGAUCCACUGGGUCUUUCGGAAGCUUGUGCCUCUCUCCAUCAUUUUUUUUCAAGAGAUUUAACGAACAUAAUGUAGAUGAAACAAAAUACUAGUAGGAAAGAAAUAAAACGAGCAUUGUUGAAAAAUGGGUCUUGGGUAAAAUGACUAAAUUAUUAUCAUUGAGGAAUACCACCUUUAGUGGUCUUGUUCAUCCCCAUCGAAGUAUCAUGAUACAAUUCCUGCUUCCAUAUUGAAAAAAUAUCAAUUUACUUUAAAUUGCUUGAACGUCGAUAUUUUGACAAUAAAAGGGAUUUACAAAAAUA